CUACGGGGCGCUCCAGUGGGGAAUAUUGCACAAUGGGGGGAACCCUGAUGCAGCAACGCCGCGUGGAGGAUGACACAUUUCGGUGCGUAAACUCCUUUUAUAUAAGAAGAUAAUGACGGUAUUAUAUGAAUAAGCACCGGCUAACUCCGUGCCAGCAGCCGCGGUAAUACGGGGGGUGCAAGCGUUACUCGGAAUCACUGGGCGUAAAGAGCAUGUAGGCUGGUUUGUAAGUUGGAAGUGAAAUCCUAUGGCUUAACCAUAGAACUGCUUCCAAAACUACUUACCUAGAGUAUGGGAGAGGUAGAUGGAAUUUCUGGUGUAGGGGUAAAAUCCGUAGAGAUCAGAAGGAAUACCGAUUGCGAAGGCGAUCUACUGGAACAUUACUGACGCUCAGAUGCGAAAGCGUGGGGAGCAAACAGGAUUAGAUACCCCCGUAGUC
rnacentral:rRNA from 1 species